GAAGACGCUGACAAGAAUGCCUUACACAUGCAAGCCACUUGAACUUCGGUUUAGGUGGCGGACGGGUGAGUAACGCGAAAGAACUUGCCUCACAAGUAAGGGACAACAUUUGGAAACGAAUGCUAAUCCCUGAUAUUAUGAUUUUAGGGCAUCCUAGAAUUAUGAAAGCUAUAUGCGCUGUGAGAGAGCCUUGCGUCCCAUUAGCUAGUUGGAGGAGGUAACGGCUUCACCAAGGCGAUGAUGGGUAGCCGCCUGAGAGGGUGAACGGCCACAAGGGGACUGAGGCACGGGCCCUUACUCCUACGGGAGGCAGCAGUGGGGAAUAUUGGACAAUGGACCAAGAGUCUGAUCCAGCAAUUCUGUGUGCACGAUGAAGUUUUUCGGAAAUGUAAAGUGCUUUCAGUUGGGAAGAAAAAAAUGACGGUACCAACAGAAGAAGUGACGGCUAAAUACGUGCCAGCAGCCGCGGUAAUACGUAUGUCACAAGCGUUAUCCGGAUUUAUUGGGCGUAAAAGCGCGUCUAGGUGGUUAUAUAAGUCUGAUGUGAAAAUGCAGGGCUCAACUCUGUAUUGCGUUGGAAACUGUGUAACUAGAGUAUUGGAGAGGUAAGCGGAACUACAAGUGUAAAGGUGAAAUUCGUAGAUAUUUGUAGGAAUGCCGAUGGGGAAGCCAGCUUACUGGACAGAUACUGACGCUGAAGCGCGAAAGCGUGGGUAGCAAACAGG
rnacentral:rRNA from 1 species